rnacentral:rRNA from 1 species
CCCCUGCAAGUCGAGGGGCAGCGGGAUUGAAGCUUGCUUCCAUUGCCGGCGACCGGCGCACGGGUGAGUAACACGUAUCCCACCUUCCGUUUACUCGGGGAUAGCCUUUCCAAAGAAAGAUUAAUACCCGAUAGUAUGGUGAGAUUGCAUGAUAACACCAUUAAAGAUUCAUUGGUAAACGAUGGGGAUGCGUUCCAUUAGGUAGUAGGCGGGGUAACGGCCCACCUAGCCUACGAUGGAUAGGGGUUCUGAGAGGAAGGUCCCCCACAUUGGAACUGAGACACGGUCCCAACUCCUACGGGAGGCAGCAGUGAGGAAUAUUGGUCAAUGGGCGAGAGCCUGAACCAGCCAAGUAGCGUGAAGGAUGAAGGUCCUACGGAUUGUAAACUUCUUUUAUAAGGGAAUAAAACGCUCCACGUGUGGAGCCUUGUAUGUACCUUAUGAAUAAG